AGGAUGAACGCUGGCGGCGUGCUUAAUACAUGCAAGUCGAACGGGCAUCGUAAGGUGCUAGUGGCGAACGGGUGAGUAACGCGUUGGUGACCUGCCUCAAAGAGAGGGAUAACAGAUCGAAAGAUCUGCUAAUACCGCAUGUGUUCACGGGAGUUAGAGAGCCGUGAAGAAAGCCGAAAGGCACUUUGAGAGGGACCUGCGUCCCAUCAGCUAGUUGGUGAGGUAACGACCCACCAAGGCGAUGACGGGUAGGGGACCUGAGACGGGUGCCCCGACAAGUCGGAACUAGAAACGACGGUCCAUACACCUACGGGUGGCAGCAGUAGGGAAUAUUGGUUAAUGGGCGCAAGCCUGACCCAGCAACGCCGCGUGAGUGAUGAAGGCCUUCGGGUGUAAAACUCUUUUAUGGGGAUGAGGAAGGACAGUACUCAUAGAAUAAGUCUCGGCUAACUACGUGCCAGCAGCCGC
rnacentral:rRNA from 1 species